AUUGAACGCUGGCGGCAGGCCUAACACAUGCAAGUCGAACGAGUGGCGGACGGGUGAGUAAUGUCUGGGAAACUGCCCGAUGGAGGGGGAUAACUACUGGAAACGGUAGCUAAUACCGCAUACCAUCGGAGGUGACCAGAUUGGAUUAGCUAGUAGGUGGGGUAAAGGCCCACCUAGGCGACGAUCCCUCGCUGGGCUGAGAGGAGUACCAGCCACACGGUAACUGAGACACGGUCCAGAUUCCUACGGGAGGCAGCAGUGGGGAAUAUUGCACAAUUGGCGCAAGCCUGAUGCAGCCAUGCCGCGUGUAUGAAGAAGGCCUUCGGGUUGUAAAGUACUUUCAGCGGGGAGGCGUUACCCGCAGAAGAAGCACCGGCUAACUCCGUGCCAGCAGCCGCGGUAAUAC
rnacentral:rRNA from 1 species